GGCAAAGACAACUGCCUUGUAGCCUCCUCGGACCCUGAUAUCAACGAGAUCUGCGCCAGGCACCCCGCAGACACCAACCCGCACUCUCCUUCUGGGAAGGAGGGCUCAAAACCUGCCUGCCUUUUCUCCCUCUGUGAUUCGUUUGUAUAUUCUAUUAUUUAUGAACGGUGUGGAGGUGAGGGUAAGAGGACGUGGGCUGUUCAAUCUUUCUGAACCAGUCAGGCAGUCUGAUGCAUUAGAAUAUUUUGCAGCACAGCGGAUUUCCAGCAAGGAGGCUGCUUCGCGCAACGCGAAGCUAAGGAGGUUGGUUGCUGGCUGGGGUCUCCAGGUGAUGAGCAAUUGAAGUUGAGAUGAAUAACAUAUUUGGGGACAUGCACCACUGGAAAGAUGAGGAUUACAGGAUGAAGUCUCCUAUAGGAAUGCUGGCCGAGGUAACAAAAUCAAGCCCCAUUAGGUUGUCUCUGUAGCGCAGACUGUAAAUGGCAAGGG
rnacentral:lncRNA from 1 species